rnacentral:rRNA from 1 species
AUUGAACGCUGGCGGCAGGCCUAACACAUGCAAGUCGAGCGGAUGAAGGGAGCUUGCUCCUGGAUUCAGCGGCGGACGGGUGAGUAAUGCCUAGGAAUCUGCCUGGUAGUGGGGGAUAACGUCCGGAAACGGGCGCUAAUACCGCAUACGUCCUGAGGGAGAAAGUGGGGGAUCUUCGGACCUCACGCUAUCAGAUGAGCCUAGGUCGGAUUAGCUAGUUGGUGGGGUAAAGGCCUACCAAGGCGACGAUCCGUAACUGGUCUGAGAGGAUGAUCAGUCACACUGGAACUGAGACACGGUCCAGACUCCUACGGGAGGCAGCAGUGGGGAAUAUUGGACAAUGGGCGAAAGCCUGAUCCAGCCAUGCCGCGUGUGUGAAGAAGGUCUUCGGAUUGUAAAGCACUUUAAGUUGAGAGGAAGGGCAGUAAGUUAAUACCUUGCUGUUUUGACGUUACCAACAGAAUAAGCACCGGCUAACUUCGUG